rnacentral:lncRNA from 1 species
AGGGAGGCCUAAGUCAUCAAACGCGUUGUAGAACAGCCAGAACACGCAGGGAGACACGACACAUCCCAUUGCUGUUCCUAUCACUUGGCUUAUGAACAUUGAUCUUGGUGAUGAUAACGUGAGGUAGCCUGUUUUGAAGUCUUGAGUGAGGUCAGAAGCUGUGGAGACUAUGUUCAUCAUGACGCCACACGCCGCUAGACCUGCUAGCAUCCCGCCGUGCUCUGACCCCGCCCAGGCUCCUAUCGUGAAUAUGGCUAGCUUUCCGUACGUCGAAGCUAAGGACCAGUCCGUGAGUCCAGCUCCGUAGGCGUUGCAGAAGGCUAAGACGGGCGCGCAGAUGUAGAUGACUAGGAUGUAAUACCAUCUCAGCUGGUGGAACAUGUGUGGGAGUAUGGCUGUGGAUGUUGCAGCUAUGAUGAUGUAUCCUCCCACGGCGAACCAAGUGGGGAUUUGGUCUUUGAGGAAGAAGCGUGUGCGACGCUGGUCGUCGUAUGAUUGCUUUGGGCUAUAUGGAGAAGCGGUUGGAUCUUCUUCGAUGGUUAAUGAUCCUCUUGAAGAAGUGCCUCGAAGCUGUACAAAUAGUCCUGAGAGCGUCCGGCUCAGGACUUUGCAGAAGUUGUAUAAACCAUCUCCUAGGAUUAUAGCAACAGCUAUGAACACCUGAAAGUAACAACAUCAGCAUAUAGAGUAUUAGACAUCGGUAGAUAGUUGGAAGGUAUCAUAAGUAAUAUAUAAGAUAGAUGGUACAGUUCACUCUCACUAAUGGAUCCAAAUAUUACACAGAGUUUUAGUUUACCUUGUAAGCUUGGAGACCAUGCAUGCUGCUGGAUUCGACAUCUGCAGGAAACCAAUCUCCCUUUUUUGUUUCAAUGAGAGGCCACAUUAUCCCCCAAGAGAGGAUUCCUCCCAGAAGAACAGAGAAGUUAAUAUACACAAUAUAUUCAAACUAAAUGUAAUGAGUAUUUCUGCAAAGAAGUUGAUCUCUAGUUCCUUAGGUUGUACUCUUUAGUCUUUUUUGUCGUAACAUUGAAUCGUAAGGCAUAUGUUGGAUAAGGAUAAUCAGUUAAAUAAACGAUUUUUGUCUCUUUGAAUAAUUAACUAAUUUAAUCUUAAAAAAAGAAGUUCGCCCUAGUUAAAACGCUCGCAGACACAUAUUCCUAGGCGCCGUCACCGACUUCACAUCCCGACGCCGGCAGCGACCAAGCUUGCCGGCGUCGCCCUCCGCUCCACUCCUGCUCUCCAUCUAGCUUAUCACCGUCGUCUCUUAUGGUCUUCUCAUUACAGUUGUGUGUUUUUAUCGUCGUCUCGGUGAGCCUCCUCGCCGUUAUGCAUUUCGUCGCCACCGUCAACACAGUCCAUCUCAACUCCACCAUCUCUACCACACACCUCCUCCCCGCUGCUUCUCCCGGCCCUCUCAUUGUCGUUGCCUCUCCAUUUUCCCUUGCCAUCCAUCCUGCCCCUUUACUCGGCGCCGCUCGCCAGAUCUGUUCGGUUCUGCGUCUUUGAAGCGCCUACACCACUCCAUGCCGCCUCAGAUCUCUUCACUGAUGCCGUGUAUCCACACCGCUCCAACUCCGGCUCCAUCAUCACCAUCGACGGCUCGUUUAGGCUUCUUGUCUCGUUAGGAUCAAAACCUCCGCUUGACGCACCUCAAGGUACUUUCAUGACAAGCUUGACAGAAUCAUAUGAUAAGUGGUUUUGGGUGGAUUUCGUCACACCUCUACGGAUUCAAUACGGUAAUGUUGGAUUCCAAAGUCAUUGCUUGAAUUCAACCAUUGUUUCCUUCUCAAAUUCCGUCAAGUACAUACAAAGGGUCGUCGCAAGGCAUCGUGGUACCGGCUCUUCCGCCGCUUCUACUUCUAUACCUUUAUGGUUGAUCGUCAAGAGCAUCACCUCACCUCCGCCGCAUCGCCUCAUCAUCCCAAUCCCUUCCGAGCGUUGCUGGUACUCAACCGACACAUGCUUUGGUCUGAACCAAAACCAUUUAUGGAGCUUAAACUUGCCGAUUGUUAUAAACUUGAGCCAUCAUUCCUCCUCCAAAGCAUCAUGUCUGUCCACAUUUCGUCGUCGCCCCUCAGUGCAAAGGGUUCACCUAGCCCAAAGCCGUGAUGUUGUGCCUAAAUUGCCAUUAUUUGUACAUCCAUCACAGGUCAAUAGAAUUUUCAUUAGCUCUGAUUUUGUCACUGGCGCUAUUCGGUUUCAAGGUCCAUCCUAUUUGUUCGUCAACGUAAAAUCUAGGAUUUUUAUACUCUUCGGUUCUGUUGAGAUUCACAUAGUCUCUUCGUGGAGCCUCGAUGUUGGAGCUAGAGCUGUUCAUGCUCGUUCCACCUCCUUCCAAACUUUGCCGUUUGGUCUAAUCAACGUCGGUUCCGACUACUUCAUGCUCAUGGUAGUAACCUACUCAGGGAUACAUCUCAUGUUUCCCACGGUUCUCCAAUGGACGAGCAAGACUCUCUCGUUUAGCUUUGUUAUCACUUGUUUUAUGUUCUGUUUUAUGAUGUUCAUCAAACCGUCGAGGAUCCCCUCCGGUUCCUAUCUUGUUACCGAUGAGCAUAGCUCCGGAUGUAAUAGUUUAAACUCAUUUUAGAUUUAAUAUAAUCGNNNNNNNNNNNNNNNNNNNNNNNNNNNNNNNNNNNNNNNNNNNNNNNNNNNNNNNNNNNNNNNNNNNNNNNNNNNNCUUCUUAAUCCUCGCAAGUUUAUGUCUUUCUCAAGAGUUUAGAAACAGAACCAUCUAUGAUCUACUUUAUAAAACAUUAAACAGUCCAGUUACGAAUUUAAACAAGCUCCUCUGUAUCUAAUUCUCUAUACAUACAACCUCUCACCUUCAAAAAUCACUCAUAAAAAAAAGCAAGUAUCAUUAACACUUUGGCCAUAUGUCUCAAGACUAAGAUCUGUGCAAAAACUUAUCAACCUUCGAGUUCGUCGCAGCAUCCAGAAACUUCAUACAAACAGGAGGACUAACUCCAGCUAUAGCCAACACCGAGCUCGGCAACGACCAAAUCCCAUCUCCACAUAUCAAACCAGACGCCACCGCAGUCCCAAACGCACCCGCCUUAGCCGCAUCCACCCUCUCCCACACGAAAAGCACCAAACUCCCCACGCACAUGUCAAUCGCAAAGUACGGCCCCAAGAAAAACGGUAUAGCCAUCGCCAUGGGAAGAGGCACAAACCUCCCCCACCUGCUCGGCAAACUAUCUUUCACUAUGUUCACAAGAAUCGCCACACCGAAGAACGCAUAACAUAAGACUAGACAUUCUCUUGGUAAUGAAGCAACACCUUCUACUCCUAGCUUAGCCAUGCUUCUGUACACUGUGGCGAACGGCGCAGGGUACUCGCUGUUAGGGAGGCCUAAGUCAUCAAACGCGUUGUAGAACAGCCAGAACACGCAGGGAGACACGACACAUCCCAUUGCUGUUCCUAUCACUUGGCUUAUGAACAUUGAUCUUGGUGAUGAUAACGUGAGGUAGCCUGUUUUGAAGUCUUGAGUGAGGUCAGAAGCUGUGGAGACUAUGUUCAUCAUGACGCCACACGCCGCUAGACCUGCUAGCAUCCCGCCGUGCUCUGACCCCGCCCAGGCUCCUAUCGUGAAUAUGGCUAGCUUUCCGUAC